rnacentral:rRNA from 1 species
ACGCCGGCGGUGUGCCUAAUACAUGCAAGUCGAGCGCACUGGCCCAACAGAAAUGACGUGCUUGCACUGAUUUGACGUUGGAUUCCCAGUGAGCGGCGGACGGGUGAGUAACACGUGGGCAACCUGCCCCAAAGCGGGGGAUAACAUUUGGAAACAGGUGCUAAUACCGCAUAACUUGGAAAACCACAUGGUUUUCCAAUAAAAGAUGGUUUCGGCUAUCACUUUGAGAUGGGCCCGCGGUGCAUUAGCUAGUUGGUAAGGUAACGGCUUACCAAGGCGAUGAUGCAUAGCCGAGUUGAGAGACUGAUCGGCCACAAUGGAACUGAGACACGGUCCAUACUCCUACGGGAGGCAGCAGUAGGGAAUCUUCCACAAUGGGCGCAAGCCUGAUGGAGCAACACCGCGUGAGUGAAGAAGGGUUUCGGCUCGUAAAACUCUGUUGUUGGAGAAGAACGUGCGUAAGAGUAACUGUUUACGCAGUGACGGUAUCCAACCAGAAAGUCACGGCUAACUACGUGCCAGCAGCCGCGGUAAUACGUAGGUGGCAAGCGUUAUCCGGAUUUAUUGGGCGUAAAGCGAGCGCAGGCGGUUGCUUAGGUCUGAUGUGAAAGCCUUCGGCUUAACCGAAGAAGUGCAUCGGAAACCGGGCGACUUGAGUGCAGAAGAGGACAGUGGAACUCCAUGUGUAGCGGUGGAAUGCGUAGAUAUAUGGAAGAACACCAGUGGCGAAGGCGGCUGUCUGGUCUGCAACUGACGCUGAGGCUCGAAAGCAUGGGUAGCGAACAGGAUUAGAUACCCUGGUAGUCCAUGCCGUAGACGAUGAGUGCUAGGUGUUGGAGGGUUUCCGCCCUUCAGUGCCGAAGCUAACGCAUUAAGCACUCCGCCUGGGGAGUACGACCGCAAGGUUGAAACUCAAA